rnacentral:rRNA from 1 species
UACGAAGGGUGCAAGCGUUACUCGGAAUUACUGGGCGUAAAGCGUGCGUAGGUGGUGAGUUAAGUCAGACGUGAAAUCCCUCGGCUCAACCGGGGAACUGCGUCUGAUACUGGGUGGCUUGAAUCCGGGAGAGGGAUGCGGGAAUUCCAGGUGUAGCGGUGAAAUGCGUAGAUAUCUGGAGGAACACCGGUGGCGAAGGCGGCGAUCCUGGACCGGCAUUGACG